rnacentral:lncRNA from 1 species
CCCAUCUUGUUUAUUCUUCCUAGACUAUACACCCUCUCUUUUCUCUCUGGAAAUUCUUAUUCAUUAUCCAUCAGGACAACUCACAAACUGGUCACCUCCCUGUUAGUGACUUCCCUGAGCACCAUGAUACACUUAGUCACUUCUGAAGUCUUUUUCCUUUUUGCCCUUUGCUCUAGAAGUGGCCAUUGUUCACACUGAGCACAUGGCAUCUUUGAAUACCUUCUCUGUUGACCAAUUCCUUAACCACAGCAAUUCCAUUUCUCUGAGGUGUACCCUAGAAAGCCAAAAAUCUCCCUUGUAGUUACCAAACAACUAAAGGACCCAGACUCUUCUAAUCAGAUGGCCCUGCACAGAACUUCCCCAAUCCCUCAGAAUGAGUUAUGUGUUCCAGGGGAGUGAGGCAGGAGACUGAUCAUCUAGUGAAGUCUAUGUAAACAGGCCUUGGGUUCUUGGUGUGGCCAGUAAUAGACUUGUGGUAAGUAGUGUCUGGUGCUGAGAGACAAUGAGAUCAUUUGCCAGAGCAUCUUGCCAGGGCAGUUGAUAAUGUUUGAGUCCCUAGCUCUCCCAGAUAGUUUACAAACCACCUAAUGACCCUGGAUGAAUGAACUCCUCAAACAAAUCUGAAUGAAUCUCCAUUUGCAUCAACUGAAAAACGUCAUCCAGUAGAGCUUGAUAUUCUUCAUCCAGAGGGGCCUCAAGGUUUGGCUGAGUCUGCUCCCAUUGCUCGUAAGGAUCCAGACCGUCCUGGAGGUGUCGGAAAUCUUGGUCGUCUUGGAUAUCUUUCAGCACUGGAUCAACAAAGAGCUGUCCAGCUCAGGUGUUCCUUGCAACUGUGUGCAGAUCUGGGUGGUCUGGUGGAGAGGGCUGUGCCGUCUCUGCAGGCCAUGACUUUCCCGGGGAUGUUGAUGGGCAGGUCAUGGUCAAAGUCUGUCUGCCCACACGUGAUGAAGCAGCCAGUGGCAACAAGCUGCCCUGGGCACGCUCAGUCUCGCUGCCACACAGUCCAGCAUUGGGCGCAGGCUAGGAAAGUGAAUCUGGACCCCCGCACUCUGCCGGUGUGGGUGGCACGCUGGCGUGCUCUUCUGUUCUGAAACCAUAGGUGUAUAGUGUCUUCUGGCAAACCGGUCUUUUGGGCGAGCUCUUCUCUGGCAGCAAUGCCCGGGUAUGGCUGCCUCUCAAAAGCCUGGAGCAGGAUGGACAACUGUGUCGAGCUGAGUCGAAUGUGAAGGCUUCUGCAUCCCGAAGGGCUGCUCCUUCUACCUUGUGCCCUGGCAUCAGAUAUUUCAGGAGGCUGCGGGGACUCCAGGACGCUUUGGGUCGCUGAUGACCCUGGGCCUUGCUGCACCACCAAAGAACGUCUUUGGCGGUUUGUGCUGAAACCACACCGGCCCGCAGAACUCAGGCAGCCUGAUUUCCCUGGCUAGUUGCUACCUGGCCAGGAAGCUUGGGGAAGGGCUCUUGGCGAAAGCUCUUAGAAGGGCCUCUUUCUGCAUGCCUUUAAAAAGGGUCUUUGGGCACCCAGAUUCCCGGGCCUGAUUUUUCCCACACUGCUGCGACCUUCCAUCCUGCCAAGCAACAAAGGAAGACUUGCCAGGAGCUAAUUCUUUCACUUGCCAGUCCAAACAAGACCACCGCCCCAGGAGGAAAGAGCUAGCAAGUCCUUUGCUUCUCUGAGCCUCAGGAUGCGACAUCCUGGCCUUUAUCUACCUGCUGGCUGGUGGCCCCGCCCACUCUCCUGCCUGCUGUCUUGUAGGGCUGC